rnacentral:lncRNA from 1 species
CGCGCGGGGCAUGCUGGGAGCUGUAGUUUGUUUUGCUCCUCUCGCAGCCCUUCCCCUCCCGACCCCCACCCGGUGAUGCGGGGUUUGAGGAGCGCACGGAACCGCUCGGGGUACGGCGAGGAGCCGCGGGCCGAGCCGGAAUGAGAACAAAAUCGUUCAAGAACCAACGAUAAAAUAACACCGCGUGAUGAAAAUACCGGCGAUCGCAGCCCCCCGGCAGCCCCAGCCACAAGCGCUGAUAACAAUCUGCUGCUCCUUGACAGCUCGCACACGGCAAAGUCCAGCAAACAGCCCUCGCUGCACAAACAACUCCGGCUUUGCCUGAAACCUCUCGGAAAAGAAGAAGGGAACAAAAAAACAAGAGAUGUGGCAGUGUCUGAUGCUGCAGCGUGUGCUCCUUCCAUGCCGGAAGCCAACAUCAUCAAAAAGUGCCUUUGAGUAAAGUCAUCUUCAGUAACAACAAAAAGCAGAAAAAACCCCUAUCACAAAGUCUAGUUAAAAGCUGAAUAAAAAGCCUGGCAGAGCAAGCAGCCCUGCUUCUCCUUUUCACUACCUACCCUCGGUGCUGCUCCACACUAAGGGGUCGCCCCCUCCUCCUCUGCCCCCAGGGGCUCCGAGCCCUGAGCUGCUUCUUCAUGCCCUGCGUGGAGCUGGGAUGCCAUGGAGCAAACUGCUGGUUCCUCCCAUUGCCAAGUGCUUCUGUGCCCCCCCUCAGGCGCCUGGGGGGCGCCCACCCCCACAGGCCUCAGCAGGAGGAGCCGUGGGCUCCGCUCGGCCCGUUUCUGAGAAGCACUGGGAGCUUUCGUAGCCCUUUUAUUCUGCUGGCUUUGGGUUGGCAGUGAGAAAUGCCCCCGGAGAGCCCCGAGAAAUGCUUCCUGGCUGGGGACGCUGCCUCAGUAAGCACUUUCCUGGAGCCAACCUGGCCCCUGCUUCUGCAUCUGGGAGGGAGCAGAGGGGGAG